rnacentral:rRNA from 1 species
UACGUAGGGACCAAGCGUUGUUCGGAUUUACUGGGCGUAAAGGGCGCGUAGGCGGCGUGACAAGUCACUUGUGAAAUCUCUGGGCUUAACCCAGAACGGCCAAGUGAAACUGUUGUGCUAGAGUGCAGAAGGGGCAAUCGGAAUUCUCGGUGUAGCGGUGAAAUGCGUAGAUAUCGAGAGGAACACCAGAGGUGAAGACGGGUUGCUGGGCUGACACUGACGCUGAGGCGACGAAAGCCAGGGGAGCAAACGGG